rnacentral:rRNA from 1 species
UAGGGAAUCUUCCGCAAUGGGCGAAAGCCUGACGGAGCAACGCCGCGUGAGUGAUGAAGGUCUUCGGAUCGUAAAACUCUGUUAUUAGGGAAGAACAAAUGUGUAAGUAACUAUGCACGUCUUGAAGGUACCUAAUCAGAAAGCCACGGCUAACUACGUGCCAGCAGCCGCGGUAAUACGUAGGUGGCAAGCGUUAUCCGGAAUUAUUGGGCGUAAAGCGCGCGUAGGCGGUUUUUUAAGUCUGAUGUGAAAGCCCACGGCUCAACCGUGGAGGGUCAUUGGAAACUGGAAAACUUGAGUGCAGAAGAGGAAAGUGGAAUUCCAUGUGUAGCGGUGAAAUGCGCAGAGAUAUGGAGGAACACCAGUGGCGAAGGCGACUUUCUGGUCUGUAACUGACGCUGAUGUGCGAAAGCGUGGGGAUCAAACAGG